AUAUUCUCAACCAUUGACUUGGGUUUUCCCUGGACAAUAGUGUUGGAUUUGAGGGUGUUGUGUCGGUCCACUUCAAUUUAUUUUUAAUUUUUUGAAGACGGUCGACUCCCUUUAAAAGCAUUAGUGGGUUUGACCUUUGUGGAUAUGCCUCGAUUUGAUAAUUAUCAAGAUGUCGUUGCACUGAAACAAUAAGCCUGCUAUCUAACCGUCCCUGACAAGGACUGCUCUAUUUAUUGAGCAAUAAGAGUCGCUGCCUUUUGGGCUUGACUUGUAACAAUUU
rnacentral:misc_RNA from 1 species